CUGGCCCUUCAUUGAUCUUUCGUAUGAAGAUCCGUCCAUCAAUGCAUGUGCUGGCCAGAAGGUGAACAUCCUCAGCAAAGAACACCAUAUCUGUUACUUUCUGGUUAUGGCCACGAAGCAAGGAUCUCAAGGCAGUGUUAAUAUUGAGGAUGCGAAUUGCUCCAGGCUUAAGUCCAUAGCAAAUGUAAUUUCUAUUGACAGCAAUCUGACGGCCAAGUAUAAGACCAGGGUCGGAGACGUACUUGGUGAUGGGAGUAACUUCGAGUUGUGGCUGCACCUCGCCUUGCAAUCUGACGUCAAUAUCAUACACAACAUGGUUGCCAAUCAAAUGGCGGCCUUUGGGGAGCUUGCUGCUGAGCAUCCUCACUGGCGUUGGGCUCGGCUGCUGCAGCUGAUGAGUUGGGGAUGCCAAACUGACAGGCGGAGCAGAAGGGAUGGGAGCACUGAAGUUGGAUACAGCCAAUGAAGAAGAGGGGGAAGAGAAGGGCAUGGUCAGAUUGGUGGAGAGAGGAGGUUGUUGCUGCUGCAGGUUCUGAUUGGUGAGGAUGUCCAUCAAUACACCACUGGGAUUUGGGUUAUUAGGCGAGAAUGGAGGGGGAGAAGGAGCAGUAGAAGGUGCAGCAACGGCAAGAGCAGCAGGAGGAGGAAAAGAAGAAAUGGGUUGAGGUCUAUUCUGCUGUUGCAUAUUAGCGAGGAACUGAUUGUGAUGCUGUUGAAGUUGUGGAAGAGGUGGAGGUGGAUAAGGAGAGAGGUAGUGAGGGUGAUAAGGAUGGUAAGGCCCAGUGGGAGGAGGAUAAGAGGAAGAUGGGGUUAAAUAGGGAGGAGAAGAUGGAGGAAGAGAGGAAGGGAGAGGGAAGGAAGGAGAAGUUGUGAGAUUGCCAAUAGCUGGGUUAGAGUUGCUGGGACUCAAAGGGGGCUGAGGCUGCUGCUGUUGUGGUGGGUUUGAUGGUUGCAUCAUAUUCAUAGGGCUUGAAGAUGGCUUGAACAGCUUAUUCACAUCAAAGACACCACCUCCUUGAUUUGGAGGAUUACCAGGUGAAGCCAUUAAUCAAUAACAGCAACAAAAAGUGAUCUACGAAUUCAGAUUAAUUAGAUUGACUAUGAGCGUAAAAGGAGAUUUGAAGCUUACGCAUAAGAAUUCA
rnacentral:misc_RNA from 1 species